rnacentral:rRNA from 1 species
GGUCUUACCAUGCAGUCGAGCGGAAGGCCCUUCGGGGUACUCGAGCGGCGAACGGGUGAGUAACACGUGAGUAACCUGCCCCUGACUCUGGGAUAAGCCCGGGAAACUGGGUCUAAUACCGGAUACGACACCUCCUGGCAUCGGGUGGGUGUGGAAAGUUUUUUCGGUUGGGGAUGGACUCGCGGCCUAUCAGCUUGUUGGUGGGGUAACGGCCUACCAAGGCGACGACGGGUAGCCGGCCUGAGAGGGCGACCGGCCACACUGGGACUGAGACACGGCCCAGACUCCUACGGGAGGCAGCAGUGGGGAAUAUUGCGCAAUGGGCGAAAGCCUGACGCAGCGACGCCGCGUGGGGGAUGACGGCCUUCGGGUUGUAAACCUCUUUCAGCAGGGACGAAGUUGACGUGUACCUGCAGAAGAAGCGCCGGCUAACUACGUGCCAGCAGCCGCGGUAAUACGUAGGGCGCAAGCGUUGUCCGGAAUUAUUGGGCGUAAAGAGCUCGUAGGUGGCUUGUCACGUCGGGUGUGAAAGCUUGGGGCUUAACUCCAGGUCUGCAUUCGAUACGGGCUGGCUAGAGGUAGGUAGGGGAGAACGGAAUUCCUGGUGUAGCGGUGAAAUGCGCAGAUAUCAGGAGGAACACCGGUGGCGAAGGCGGUUCUCUGGGCCUUACCUGACGCUGAGGAGCGAAAGCGUGGGGAGCGAACAGGAUUAGAUACCCUGGUAGUCCACGCUGUAAACGUUGGGCGCUAGGUGUGGGGACCUUCCACGGUUUCCGCGCCGUAGCUAACGCAUUAAGCGCCCCGCCUGGGGAGUACGGCCGCAAGGCUAAAACUCAAAAGGAAUUGACGGGGGGCCCGCACCAAGCCGGCGGGAGCCAUGUUGCUUAAUUCGACACAACGCAAU